CCAAAGGCUCUUUUCAGAGCCACCUCCAAGUUCGAAAAGGAGUGUG
rfam:Otolemur garnettii contig184107, whole genome shotgun sequence.